UCCUCAUUAAUGGACAGGUUGUGCCCUUUCUCCAGGUGUCUACUUCUUGGUAGGGGUCCUGAGGAGGAGACACCUGCACUGGGGUGAAUCUUGCCCUCCUCUCCUUUGUAGGGGUAGAAAAGGGAGGAUGGACAGGGCAAUACAAAUACGAAAAGAUGGGAGGAAGCCCAGUCCCUGCACUUUUCUUCCCCAGGCCGUGCUGAGCCCCAAGAGAGAGCAAACCCCAGUGUUCCUCCAAGAUGGAAACUCUGUUGCUCACACUGGAGUACAAUGGUGCUAUCUCAGCUCACUGCAAUCUCCGCCUCCUGGGUUCAAAUGAUUCUCCUGCCUCAGCCUCCCGAGUAGCUGAGAUUACAGACCUGCACUGGAAGAAAAGCAAAGUAUGCUCUUCAAGAUGAAAGGAAAUUACAUAAGAGAGAAACUUGGACCUCUAAGAAAGAAUAUAGAACAUCAGUAAUGGUCUUUGAACCCUUGUGCAGUUUGGGAUACAGCGCACACCAGAGAACCCUAUUGUGAAGUGCACAUGCAAAGGGUCUAAGUUGCACACUCCUUAUGAGAAUCUAAUGUCUGAUGAUAUGUCACUGUCUCCCAACACCCCCGAGAAAACUGUCUAGCUGCAGGAAAACAAGCUCAGGGCUCCCACUGAAUCUACA